AACGCGAAGAACCUUACCUGGGCUCGAAAUGCUAUGGACAGUCUGUGAAAGCAGAUCUUCCCCUUAAAAGGACCGUAGUAUAGGUGCUGCAUGGCUGUCGUCAGCUCGUGUCGUGAGAUGUUGGGUUAAGUCCCGCAACGAGCGCAACCCUUGUCCUGUGUUACUCACCGAAAGGAAGACUCGCAGGAGACCGCCAGCGAUAAGCUGGAGGAAGGUGGGGAUGACGUCAAGUCCUCAUGGCCUUUAUGUCCAGGGCUACACACGUGCUACAAUGGGCGGUACAAAGCGCUGCUAAGCCGCAAGGUGGAGCCAAUCGCAAAAAGCCGCUCUCAGUUCGGAUUGCAGGCUGCAACUCGCCUGCAUGAAGCUGGAAUCGCUAGUAAUGCUAUAUCAGAACGAUAGCGUGAAUACGUUCCCGGGCCUUGUACACACCGGCUAC
rnacentral:rRNA from 1 species